rnacentral:rRNA from 1 species
ACCCGCUGAACUUAAGCAUAUCAAUAAGCGGAGGAAAAGAAACCAACAGGGAUUGCCUCAGUAACGGCGAGUGAAGCGGCAACAGCUCAAAUUUGAAAUCUGGCUCUUUCAGGGUCCGAGUUGUAAUUUGUAGAAGAUGCUUUGGGUGUAGCUCCGGUCUAAGUUCCUUGGAACAGGACGUCAUAGAGGGUGAGAAUCCCGUACGUGACUGGUUGCUUUCGCUCGUGUAAAGCUCUUUCGACGAGUCGAGUUGUUUGGGAAUGCAGCUCAAAACGGGUGGUAAAUUUCAUCUAAAGCUAAAUAUUGGCCAGAGACCGAUAGCGCACAAGUAGAGUGAUCGAAAGAUUAAAAGCACUUUGGAAAGAGAGUUAAACAGUACGUGAAAUUGUUGAAAGGGAAGCGCUUGCAACCAGACUUGCGCGCUGUUGAUCAUCCGAGAUUUUUCCCGGUGCACUCGGCAGCGCUCAGGCCAGCAUCGGUUUUGGUGGGCGGAUAAAGGCCUUGGGAAUGUAGCUUCUUUCGGGGAGUGUUAUAGCCCUCGGUGCAAUGCGCCCUACCGGGACCGAGGACCGCGCUUCGGCUAGGAUGCUGGCGUAAUGGUUGUAAGCGACCCGUCUUGAAACACGG